rnacentral:rRNA from 1 species
UACGUAGGGUGCAGGCGUUAAUCGGAAUUACUGGGCGUAAAGAGCUCGUAGGUGGUUUGUCGCGUUGUUCGUGAAAACUCACAGCUCAACUGUGGGCGUGCGGGCGAUACGGGCAGACUGGAGUACUGCAGGGGAGACUGGAAUUCCUGGUGUAGCGGUGGAAUGCGCAGAUAUCAGGAGGAACACCGGUGGCGAAGGCGGGUCUCUGGGCAGUAACUGACGCUGAGGAGCGAAAGCGUGGGGAGCGAACAGG